GAUGAACGCUAGCGGCAGGCUUAAUACAUGCAAGUCAAGGGGGUAGCAAUACAACCGGCGCACGGGUGAGUAACACGUACACAACAUACCAUAUACUGAGGUAUAGCUUCGGGAAACUGAAGGUAAUCCCUCAUAGUAUUGUGAAAGGGCAUCUUUUUACAAUUAAAGUUUCGACGGUAUAUGAUUGGUGUGCGUUUGAUUAGCUAGUUGGUAGGGUAACGGCCUACCAAGGCAACGAUCAAUAGCUGGCGUGAGAGCGCGACCAGCCACACUGGAACUGAGACACGGUCCAGACUCCUACGGGAGGCAGCAGUAGGGAAUAUUGGACAAUGGGCGAAAGCCUGAUCCAGCCAUGCCGCGUGAUAGAUGAAGGCCCUCUGGGUUGUAAAUAUCUUUUAUCUGGGAAGAAACACUUCUAUUCUUAGAAGCUUGACGGUACCAGAGGAAUAAGCACCGGCUAACUCCGUGCCAGCAGCCGCGGUAAAGU
rnacentral:rRNA from 1 species